GCUGUUUGAAUAAAAACAAGAAGAAGAAGAAUGGAACAGAGCAGGAGUCUGCAGCAAGGAAUAGCUCAUUUAGCUCACCAAACACGCAGUGAAUGCAGAGUUUCAACAAAUUACAAACCAAAACCUGCCCUGCACAUGUUGAGGUUGACCACUCUCUGUGUCGUCUGACAGAAGAUACAGAAGACUGGGAGCAUAGCAGAUGCUUUGGACGACAGACAGUACAGACAUGGUGAUAAAGCUGUUUCCAAACACUACAGUGUUUGAAGUAAGAGCCUUCAUUCACAGAAAUCGAGGCCUACCCAAAGAAAACUGACAGUUCCCCUGUUCCUUGAAGGACAAAGUGUGAAGUAUUUUGUUUAAAUGUUUGGUUUAUAUGGUUUUAUGCUGUUUUUGAUGUAAAGUUUAGAAAGAAAUGCACUGUAAUUAUUUCUGCGUGUGAUUUGUUAGUUGUUUUUAUGCAGAAAACUUAAAAGUGGCUUUUUUAUGUGAUUUAUGGAUAUAGUGUACUUUUCAGUACUACUGGCCAUGUAAAAUAAUUUUAUAGAUUUUAUUUAGUUUAAUGUUUUAGUCAAUAUUUUAAACAUGUUGCUGUGCCUUUUAAUGCACAAAAAUUUUAUUUUGUAAUGUAUAAUAUAUUAAAGUUUUUGAAGAUGUC